rnacentral:rRNA from 1 species
AUUGAACGCUGGCGGCAGGCCUAACACAUGCAAGUCGAGCGGAUGAAGGGAGCUUGCUCCUGGAUUCAGCGGCGGACGGGUGAGUAAUGCCUAGGAAUCUGCCUGGUAGUGGGGGAUAACGUCCGGAAACGGGCGCUAAUACCGCAUACGUCCUGAGGGAGAAAGUGGGGGAUCUUCGGACCUCACGCUAUCAGAUGAGCCUAGGUCGGAUUAGCUAGUUGGUGGGGUAAAGGCCUACCAAGCCGACGAUCCGUAACUGGUCUGAGAGGAUGAUCAGUCACACUGGAACUGAGACACGGUCCAGACUCCUACGGGAGGCAGCAGUGGGGAAUAUUGGACAGAGGGCGAAAGCCUGAUCCAGCCAUGCCGCGUGUGUGAAGAAGGUCUUCGGAUUGUAAAGCACUUUAAGUUGGGAGGAAGGGCAGUAAGUUAAUACCUUGCUGUUUUGACGUUACCAACAGAAUAAGCACCGGCUAACUUCGUG